rnacentral:rRNA from 1 species
GAACGAGGGAGUAUUCCGAAAGGGGUACAAACCGAGUGGCGUAAGGGUGAGUAAUGCAUUGAUAACCUACCUUUGAGAUGGGAACAACAGCGUUCCAAGCAAUUGGAGCUACCGAAAGGGCUGCUAAUACCCAAUAAAACUAUUAUUGCUUUGGUGAUGAUAGUCAAACAUGCGGAAUCGAAAGGUUCCAUUUGCUCAAAGAGGGGUCAAUGUCCUAUCAGCUUGUUGGUGGGGUAACGGCCUACCAAGGCGAAGACGGGUAGCCGGCCUGAGAGGGUGGUCGGCCACACUGGGACUGAGACACUGCCCAGACUCCUACGGGAGGCUGCAGUCGAGAAUCUUUCGCAAUGCCCGAAAGGGUGACGAAGCGACGCCGCGUGCGGGAAGAAGGCCUUCGGGUUGUAAACCGCUGUCGGGAGUUAGGAAAUGCAAGGAUGUUAAUAGCAUUCUUGCUUGACUAAGGCUCCGGAGGAAGCCACGGCUAACUCUGUG